rnacentral:rRNA from 1 species
GUAUCCAGUCAGGAGUUUGCACAGGUGCUGCAUGGCUGUCGUCAGCUCGUGCCGUGAGGUGUUAGGUUAAGUCCUGCAACGAGCGCAACCCUCGUCGCUAGUUGUUUUCUCUAGCGAUACUGCCCGUAUAACGUGGAAGGAAGGUGGGGAUGACGUCAAGUCAGCAUGGCCCUUACAUCCUGGGCUACACACACGCUACAAUGGGUGAUACAACAGGUUGCGAUAGAGUAAUCUGGAGCCAAUCCCUAAAAUCAUCCUCAGUACGGAUUGCAGGCUGCAACUGCCUGCAUGAAGUUGGAGUUGCUAGUAAACGCAGGUCAGCACACUGCGUUGAACUACGUUCUCGGGCCUU